GGACUUAUGAAAAUCCGUUGGCUUUAAAGACCGUGAGGGUUCAAGUCCCUCUACCCCCA
rnacentral:tRNA from 1 species